ACAAAUAGGUCACAGCAGCUCGUAAUCCGUGUUGGCUCUGAAGUCACUCUCACCCCCCAGAUAGUCAUUGAUGGAAGUGACAAAAUCACGAUUUAUCUAGAUAUUUUGUAUGACACAGUCAUUACACGUUAUAGCUCAUUGAGGUCAAGCAGAAAACCAACUACAUUUAGCCUUAAUGUUGAAUUUGCCACUACUACCACCAUAGAUGAAGGAAAUGGACAAUCUACCCUCUAUUCUGGUCCAUUGAGCGCUCUCAUUCUCCUGGCUCUGCUUCCGAUUUUGCUUCUCAAGUGAUUGAUAAGAGACUGAUGACCGAGGCUAUUAAAUGGCAUUUCCUUCAUUUUUAUGACAAUACUGUAUUGUCUCUUCUCAGAUCACCUCGUCACUUCAAUCAAAU